rnacentral:rRNA from 1 species
UACGUAGGGCGCAAGCGUUAUCCGGAAUUAUUGGGCGUAAAGAGCUCGUAGGCGGUUUGUCGCCUCUGCCGUGAAAGUCCGGGGCUCAACUCCGGAUCUGCGGUGGGUACGGGCAGACUAGAGUGAUGUAGGGGAGACUGGAAUUCCUGGUGUAGCGGUGAAAUGCGCAGAUAUCAGGAGGAACACCGAUGGCGAAGGCAGGUCUCUGGGCAUUAACUGACGCUGAGACGCGAAAGCGUGGGGAGCGAACAGG